ACAUAGUAUUGAAGAAGCUCUCAAAAACACCCAGAGAAGGGCAACAAGAGUACUUCUUGAUAUCAGACAUUAAGAUAGGAAAUAUUGCAUAAGGGACUCACUCUAGGCCCAGAAAAGAAGAAUGCAGCUGCAGCAUAGUGAAGAUCCCACAGCGAUCCAAGCUGCCUCCACCGCUCUUCAAGGGGGUCAGCGUACCAAUGAAAAGAGUUCCGUCAGGUUUUGAUAUGAGAACCUCUUUGGAAAGUAAAGGAAAAUGCUGGCAAUGUUUCCAGAGGGAGCUGUUCUGUGGCUGAGGAAAGUAAACAGUUGAAAAGCGAAGGGAUUCUGAGGCCAGCUCUCUCUGGAAUGCAGCAGGAACUGGAGGACCAGGAGACCCAUCCAUAAAGGGGGAGAGCACUGAGAAGCAUACACUCUCCAGCCACUGAUUCCCAUAUACGUGGCAGUUUGGGAGACAAAAAACAGCAAUACUGUUAGCCAUCCUGGUGCCCUGUCACCACACCUCUGGUGACAGAGCCCUUGCUAGGGCAGUUCCUAAAUGGAGUCCUGCCCAGCCCCCUGAGCCUACAUCACAGUCAGAGCUCUUAUCACGUGCAUAUAUGAGUCUGCACGAUUGGCUCAGGAACAGUAUGAGAGGAAGGGGCCAGUUUUCAUUGGUUCCUUCAGGAAGGGUGGAGGAUUAUUGGGGUGAGACUCACCAAUGAGGCCGGAGUAGGCAAGCAGGCAGUCGGCGUAGUUCUCCUUCAGGCAGCCGGACAGGGAGCGAGGCUCCGGCUGGCAGUUGGCGAAAAAGUCAGCGAGUCGCGACCUGAAAAGAACACACCGCAACAAGACAGCAGUGAACACCUAUGGCCUGACCCCUGACCGCUGACCGCUGACCCCCCCAAAAUGAACCAACCCACAGACGGCUACAACUAGCAUGCAUUAGCCCUGCGGUGCAGCGGUGAGAGUGUUUGCGAUGCAGCUGAUGCACAGAGGAGUGGAUUGUUAGGCUCUCACAGGAUCUAAGUGCCCCGCUUCAGUACCAGAUCCGGGCAUCUGAGUCACCUCAUUGGCUCUCUCUGCGAUACAAUGGGGCUAAAGGCAGUCUAGAGGGGUGUGCAUCCCUCCUGUUCAUCCCAGUAAUGGCCACUCAGCAAGCUUUUAAAGCAGCAGUUCCCACUUGGCCUGAUUAGCGCUAGCAGGCAGGAUGCUGUGGGCCUUCAUAAUGGGCCAAAACCCAAAGUGCAGCAAA